rnacentral:rRNA from 1 species
CCUACGGGUGGCUGCAGUGGGGGAUAUUGCACAAUGGGGGAAACCCUGAUGCAGCGACGCCGCGUGGGCGAAGAAGUAUUUCGGUAUGUAAAGCCCUAUCAGCAGGGCAGCAGAAAUGACGGUACCUGAGUAAGCAACACCGGCUAAAUACGUGCCAUCAGCCGCGGUAAUACGUAUGGUGCAAGCGUUAGCCGGAUUUACUGGGUGUAAAGGGAGCGCAGGCGGCACGGCAAGCCUGAUGGGAAAGCCCGCGGCGCAAACGCGGGACUGCAGUGGGAACUACCGGGCUGGAGUGCCGGAGAGGUAGGCGGAAUGCGUAGUGUAGCGGUGAAAUGCGUAGAUAUUAGGAGGAACACCAGUGGCGAAGGCGGCAUACUGGACGGUGACUGACGCUGAGGCUCGAAAGCGUGGGGAGCAAACAGGAUUAGAUACCCCAGUAGUC